rnacentral:rRNA from 1 species
CAGAGGGGGCAAGCGUUGUUCGGAAUUACUGGGCGUAAAGGGCGCGUAGGCGGCCUGCUAAGUCGAACGUGAAAUCCCUGGGCUCAACCCAGGAACUGCGUCCGAUACUGGUUGGCUUGAAUCCGGGAGAGGGAUGUGGAAUUCCAGGUGUAGCGGUGAAAUGCGUAGAUAUCUGGAGGAACACCGGUGGCGAAGGCGUCCCUCUGGCCGGAUACUGACGCUGAGACGCGAAAGCGUGGGGAGCAAACAGGAUUAGAUACCCUGGUAGUCCACGCCAUAAACGAUGGGUACUAGGUGUUCGGGGUAUUGACCCCCUGAGUGCCGCAGCUAACGCAUUAAGUACCCCGCCUGGGGAAUACGGCCGCAAGGUUA